rnacentral:lncRNA from 1 species
AGACCUACUGCAGCCACGCGGGCGAGCGGCUGUGUGGAUGUCGGCGAAGCCGCGGGCGAGACCCUGAGAAACUUCUACCUGUCCCAUGCCAGCUGAGGGUGUCUGAGGAGCUGACAUCAACCCCAUGGAUCUCCUGAACUGUGCUGGAAGGUAGAGACAGGCAGGGAGGCUUCCCAAUGGGUCAGGAGAACCUGACCCCACAAAUCAACUGAUCUUCAAGAGACAGGAUGGAGGGAGGGAUCAUUCUAGAGAACCCUGCUCCUUGUUCCUCCCUGUGGCAAAAUCUGGCGCCAGGAAGAGUUUGAGU